AUUGAACGCUGGCGGCGUGCUUAACACAUGCAAGUCGAUCGGUAACAGGUGUAGCAAUACAUGCUGACGAGAGGCGGACGGGUGAGUAAUGCUUGGGAAUCUGCCUAUUAGUGGGGGACAACCCGGGGAAACUCGGGCUAAUACCGCAUACGCUCUACGGAGGAAAGCCGGGGACCGCAAGGCCUGGCGCUAAUAGAUGAGCCCAAGUCGGAUUAGCUAGUUGGUAGGGUAACGGCCUACCAAGGCGACAAUCCGUAGCUGGUCUGAGAGGACGACCAGCCACACCGGAACUGAGACACGGUCCGGACUCCUACGGGAGGCAGCAGUGGGGAAUAUUGGACAAUGGGGGCAACCCUGAUCCAGCGACGCCGCGUGGGUGAAGAAGGCCUGCGGGUUGUAAAGCCCUUUCGGUGGGGAAGAAAAGUCUCGACCUAAUACGUCGGGACCUUGACCGUAACCCACUAAAGAAGACACCGGCUAACUCUGUGCCAGCAGCCGCUGUAA
rnacentral:rRNA from 1 species